ACGCUCGACACCUACGGGAGCAGCAGUAGGGAAUUUUCGGCAAUGGGCGAAAGCCUGACCGAGCAACGCCGCGUGAAGGAAGAAGUCAUUCGUGAUGUAAACUUCUGUUAUAAAGGAAGAACGGCGCCUGUAGGGAAUGACAGGCGAGUGACGGUACUUUAUGAGGAAGCCACGGCUAACUACGUGCCAGCAGCUGACGGUAAUUCGUGGAGGGCCGGGCGUGGACGAACGGC
rnacentral:rRNA from 1 species